rnacentral:rRNA from 1 species
UACGAAGGGGGCUAGCGUUGCUCGGAAUUACUGGGCGUAAAGGGAGCGUAGGCGGAUAGUUUAGUCAGAGGUGAAAGCCCAGGGCUCAACCCUGGAAUUGCCUUUGAUACUGGCUAUCUUGAGUAUGAGAGAGGUUAGCGGAACUCCGAGUGUAGAGGUGAAAUUCGUAGAUAUUCGGAAGAACACCAGUGGCGAAGGCGGCUAACUGGCUCAUUACUGACGCUGAGGCUCGAAAGCGUGGGGAGCAAACAGG